rnacentral:rRNA from 1 species
UACGUAGGGGGCUAGCGUUGUCCGGAAUCAUUGGGCGUAAAGCGCGUGUAGGCGGUUCGGUAAGUCCGCUGUGAAAGUCGGGGGCUCAACCCUCGAAAGCCGGUGGAUACUGUCGGACUAGAGUGCGGAAGAGGCGACUGGAAUUCCUGGUGUAGCGGUGAAAUGCGCAGAUAUCAGGAGGAACACCGGUGGCGAAGGCGGGUCUCUGGGCCGAUAUCGACGCUGAGGAGCGAAAGCGUGGGGAGCGAACAGG